rnacentral:rRNA from 1 species
AGCAGUCGCCGCGGUAAUACCGAGGGUGCGAGCGUUAAUCGGAUUUACUGGGCGUAAAGCGUGCGUAGGCGGCUUUUUAAGUCGGAUGUGAAAUCCCUGAGCUUAACUUAGGAAUUGCAUUCGAUACUGGGAAGCUAGAGUAUGGGAGAGGAUGGUAGAAUUCCAGGUGUAGCGGUGAAAUGCGUAGAGAUCUGGAGGAAUACCGAUGGCGAAGGCAGCCAUCUGGCCUAAUACUGACGCUGAGGUACGAAAGCAUGGGGAGCAAACAGGAUUAGAUACCCCCGUAGUCCCUGUCUCUUAUAC